AGUGAACGCUGGCGGUAGGCCUAACACAUGCAAGUCGAACGGCAGCACAGUAAGAGCUUGCUCUUACGGGUGGCGAGUGGCGGACGGGUGAGGAAUACAUCGGACUCUACUUUUUCGUGGGGGAUAACGUAGGGAAACUUACGCUAAUACCGCAUACGACCUACGGGUGAAAGCAGGGGAUCUUCUGACCUUGUGCGAUUGAAUGAGCCGCUGUCGGAUUAGCUAGUUGGGGGGGUAAAGGCCCACCGAGGCGACGAUCCGUAGCUGGUCUGAGAGGAGGAUCAGCCGCACUGGAGCUGGGACACGGUCCAGACGCCUACGGGAGGCAGCAGUGGGGAAUAUUGGACAGAGGGCGGAAGCCUGAUACAGCCAGACCGCGUGGGUGAAGAAGGCCUUCGGGUUGUAAAGCCCUUUUGUUGGGAAAGAAAAGCAGCAGGUUAAUACCCCGCUGUUCUGACGGUACCCAAAGAAUAAGCACCGGCUAACUUCGUG
rnacentral:rRNA from 1 species